GCAGUCGAGCGGUAGGCCCUUCGGGGUACACGAGCGGCGAACGGGUGAGUAACACGUGAGCAACCUGCCCCUGACUCCGGGAUAAGCGGUGGAAACGCCGUCUAAUACCGGAUAUGACACACCAUCUCCUGGUGGUGUGUGGAAAGUUUUGUCGGUCAGGGAUGGGCUCGCGGCCUAUCAGCUAGUUGGUGGGGUAAAGGCCUACCAAGGCGAUUACGGGUAGCCGGCCUGAGAGGGCGACCGGCCACACUGGGACUGAGACACGGCCCAGACUCCUGCGGGAGGCAGCAGUGGGGAAUAUUGCACAAUGGGCGAAAGCCUGAUGCAGCGACGCCGCGUGGGGGAUGACGGCCUUCGGGUUGUAAACCUCUUUUACCACCAACGCAGGCCCCGGGUUCUCUCGGGGUUGACGGUAGGUGGGGAAUAAGGACCGGCUAACUACGUGCCAGCAGCCGCGGUAAUACGUAGGGUCCGAGCGUUGUCCGGAAUUAUUGGGCGUAAAGAGCUCGUAGGCGGCGUGUCGCGUCUGCUGUGAAAGACCGGGGCUUAACCCCGGUUCUGCAGUGGAUACGGGCAUGCUAGAGGUAGGUAGGGGAGACUGGAAUUCCUGGUGUAGCGGUGAAAUGCGCAGAUAUCAGGAGGAACACCGGUGGCGAAGGCGGGUCUCUGGGCCUUACCUGACGCUGAGGAGCGAAAGCAUGGGGAGCGAACAGGAUUAGAUACCCUGGUAGUCCAUGCCGUAAACGUUGGGCGCUAGGUGUGGGGACUUUCCACGGUUUCCGCGCCGUAGCUAACGCAUUAAGCGCCCCGCCUGGGGAGUACGGCCGCAAGGCUAAAACUCAAGGGAAUUGACGGGGGCCCGCACAAAGCGGCGGAGCAUGUUGCUUAAUUUCGACGCAACGCGAAGAAACCUUACCAAGGUUUGACAUCACCCGUGGACCUGUAGAGAUACAGG
rnacentral:rRNA from 1 species